CAUGCCAGUCGAGGGGCAGCAUUUUAGUUUGCUUGCAAACUAAAGAUGGCGACCGGCGCACGGGCUGAGUAACACGUAUCCAACCUGCCGAUAACUCGGGGAUAGCCUUUCGAAAGAAAGAUUAAUAUCCGAUAGUAUAUUAAAACCGCAUGGUUUUACUAUUAAAGAAUUUCGGUUAUCGAUGGGGAUGCGUUCCAUUAGUUUGUUGGCGGGGUAACGGCCCACCAAGACUACGAUGGAUAGGGGUUCUGAGAGGAAGGUCCCCCACAUUGGAACUGAGACACGGUCCAAACUCNUACGGGAGGCAGCAGUGAGGAAUAUUGGUCAAUGGACGAGAGUCUGAACCAGCCAAGUAGCGUGAAGGAUGACUGCCCUAUGGGUUGUAAACUUCUUUUAUAUGGGAAUAAAAGUAUUCCACGGGUGGGAUUUUGUAUGUACCAUAUGAAUAAAGGAUCGGCUAACUCCGUGCCAGCAGCCGCGGUAAUACGGAGGAUCCGAGCGUUAUUCCGGAUUUAUUGGGUUUAAAGGGAGCGUAGGUGGAUUGUUAAGUCAGUUGUGAAAGUUUGCGGCUCAACCGUAAAAUUGCAGUUGAAACUGGCAGUCUUGAGUACAGUAGAGGUGGGCGGAAUUCGUGGUGUAGCGGUGAAAUGCUUAGAUAUCACGAAGAACUCCGAUUGCGAAGGCAGCUCACUAGACUGCAACUGACACUGAUGCUCGAAAGUGUGGGUAUCAAACAGGAUUAGAUACCCUGGUAGUCCACACAGUAAACGAUGAAUACUCGCUGUUUGCGAUAUACAGUAAGCGGCCAAGCGAAAGCAUUAAGUAUUCCACCUGGGGAGUACGCCGGCAACGGUGAAACUCAAAGGAAUUGACGGGGGCCCGCACAAGCGGAGGAACAUGUGGUUUAAUUCGAUGAUACGCGAGGAACCUUACCCGGGGCUUAAAUUGCAUUUGAAAUAAUCUGGAAACAGGUUAGCCGCAAGGCAAAUGUGAAGGUGCUGCAUGGUUGUCGUCAGCUCGGGCCCGGAGGUGUCGGCUUAAGUGCCAUAACGAGCGCAACCCUUAUCUUUAGUUACUAACAGGUCAUGCUGAGGACUCUAGAGAGACUGCCGUCGUAAGAUGUGAGGAAGGUGGGGAUGACGUCAAAUCAGCACGGCCCUUACGUCCGGGGCUACACACGUGUUACAAUGGGGGGUACAGAAGGCAGCUACCUGGCGACAGGAUGNUAAUCCCAAAAACCUCUCUCAGUUCGGAUCGAAGUCUGCAACCCGACUUCGUGAAGCUGGAUUCGCUAGUAAUCGCGCAUCAGCCAUGGCGCGGUGAAUACGUUCCCGGGCCUUGUACACACCGCCCGUCAAGCCAUGAAAGCCGGGGGUACCUGAAGUAACGAACCGCAAGGAG
rnacentral:rRNA from 1 species